rnacentral:rRNA from 1 species
AACGUAGGUGGCAAGCGUUUAUCCGGAAUUACUGGGCGUAAAGGGUGUGCAGGCGGGAGUGCAAGUGGUGUAUGAAAACGUCCGGCUUAACCGGGCGCUGUUAUGCCAGACUGCAGUUCUAGAGGACGAGAGAGGGGGGUGGAAUUCCGGGGUGUAGUGGUGGAAAUGCGUAGAGAUCCGGAGGAACCCCGAGGCGAAGGCGGCCCCCUGGCUCGUACCUGACGCUCAGCCACGAAAGCAUGGGGAGCGAACGGG